rnacentral:rRNA from 1 species
GAUGAACGCUGGCGGCGUGCUUAACACAUGCAAGUCGAACGGAAAGGCUCCUGCUUGCAGGGGUACUCGAGUGGCGAACGGGUGAGUAACACGUGGGUGAUCUGCCCUGCACUUCGGGAUAAGCCUGGGAAACUGGGUCUAAUACCGGAUAGGACGAUGGUUUGGAUGCCAUUGUGGAAAGUUUUUCGGUGUGGGAUGAGCUCGCGGCCUAUCAGCUUGUUGGUGGGGUAAUGGCCUACCAAGGCGUCGACGGGUAGCCGGCCUGAGAGGGUGUACGGCCACAUUGGGACUGAGAUACGGCCCAGACCCCUACGGGAGGCAGCAGUGGGGAAUACUGCACAAUGGGCGCAAGCCUGAUGCAGCGACGCCGCGUGGGGGAUGACGGCCUUCGGGUUGUAAACUCCUUUCGCUAGGGACGAAGCGCAAGUGACGGUACCUGGAGAAGAAGCACCGGCUAACUACGUG